UACGUAGGGGGCAAGCGUUGUCCGGAUUUAUUGGGCGUAAAGAGCGUGUAGGCGGUUUGGUAGGUCCGCUGUGAAAACUCGAGGCUCAACCUCGAGACGCCGGUGGAAACCAUCAGACUAGAGUCCGGAAGAGGAGAGUGGAAUUCCUGGUGUAGAGGUGAAAUGCGCAGAUAUCAGGAAGAACACCCGUGGCUAAGGCGGCUCUCUAGUACGGUACUGACGCUGAGACGCGAAAGCGUGGGGAGCGAACAGG
rnacentral:rRNA from 1 species